CAUCGGAUCCACUCAGAAGCCACCCAGAUCGAGCGCCCGCCUCUUUCCCUUCCUCAUUCAUUCCCAUCGCCAGCCGCUGGUAAUGUUUGACCGCCUCCUUCCUGGUUGUUAGUUGCGAGGCUGCCUACCCAGGCGGCGAGUUGUUGUGGACGUUGGAGAUCGUGCGCCCAAAACGAAGGCGGGCCGGGGAGUGCUGUGGCGGGAUCCCGUCUCGGGGCAGCUGGAGCCUGUUCCCUCGGCUCUUUUUUUCUUUCUUCUUUUUCGCUUGCAACGACAAACAGAAACUGCAAGAAUACACUUGAAGGGUUGGAAAGUUAUUCUUGAAGUUGACAGAACAGUUAUAAACAUGGGAGCCAGUUUGGUGUAAUGAUGAAGGUGCUGACCUAGAAACCAAGAACUCUGUGUUUGAACUUUUCAUGGAAUCCAGCCCAGGCUGUAACAGGACAUUGAAAAAACAGGGCUAAAGAGGAAAUUCUGAAACCAGAA